rnacentral:lncRNA from 1 species
UGGCAGCGAAGCAAACGACGAUCCUCGUUGCCGCCAUCCUCGUAACUGCUUUUUACGGCGGCGCGGUGACAUCGGCGCAGGCACCGUCAGCUGGUCCAGCGAUGGCCAUGUCGCCGUCCGCCAUGGCACCGACGCCGGACUGUAUGACGAACUUGUUCAACUUAUCGGAUUGUUUGACGUACGUGGAGGCCGGAAGCAACUUGACGAAGCCGGACAAGCCUUGCUGUCCGGAAUUGGCUGGGCUAGUGGAAAGUAGCCCUCAAUGCUUGUGUUAUUUGCUGGAUAAGAACGCGACGGCGAACUAUGGGUUCAACAUUGACAUGGAUAGAGCUCUUAAGCUUCCUGAUGUUUGCCAUGUUAAAACUCCUCCUGUUAGUCUUUGUUCAGGUAAUUCUACCUUUCCCUCUUCUUUUUUUACUAUCUUUCAUGAAUUUUUGAUGGAGUAUAACUGAUCUUGUUGUUUGGAUUGAGAAUUGGCGGGUAAAAAAUUGAAUAAUUUUGAGUAAGAAGACUUAUAACAACCGAAAAUUAAAACAGGAAAACUGAUUGAAUUGAUUUAUAGAUUUUUUUAAUUGUUUAUUUAGUUAUUGGAUGAUUGAAUUGCUUGAACUAGAAGAGGUGCGUGGAAUUUUUGAAACAUUGAAUAUAACGAGGAGAAUUAAAUAUUGAACUCAAAUUUGUUAUAAUUGUUAGCGUUAAUUGUAAGAUAUUUUCAAACUAUACUUUCGAUUUUAAAUUUGGUUCGAAAGUUUAAAAAUAUUGUAAUUAAAUUUUAAAAUUUUUUUAAAGAAUAUUAUUUAUAUUAAGAUGGUCUUUUGUCGAUUCAAAUUUAAUAUGAAUAACUUUAGAUAUUAUGUUUUCGAAAAACAUAGAUAUUGACAAUUUAAGAGGAUUAUAUUUUAUUUUAAUACAUUAAAUCUAAACUAUUAUACAUUAAGUAUACACAUGUUUAUAGUUUAAUUUAGGUGCUUUAAAUUUGCUCAACAUUUUAUCCAACCUAAUAUAUAACUUUUAAAUUGACGACUAGGUUAAUAGAAUGGCUUGAUUGAUAUAAUAUUAAAACAUUGAAAACUUAAUUAAAACAUCUUGAAGUUUUUGGACCAAUUUAACAUUUGGACCAUAGUUUGAAAACAUUUGUUAGAAUUAACCCAACAUUUUCAAAGAUAAUUACAAUAUGAAUCAUAUUUGUUAUUUUUAAUACAAUGUCUAGAAUUACCUAUAGUCGUACCAAACUUAUAAAUAGAAGGAUAAUGUGUUUUAGCGCAUUUGAACCCACGUCUUCCUGUAUUGAUAAAAAUAUCCAUUUCAAUUGAGCUAAAAUUACAUCGACGAGUAGAAUUUUUUUUUUGGUAACACAAGUGAUUUUAUAGUAUUUUUAAAAAAAUAUAUUUUUAGUGGUGAAUAUAGUAAUAUAUAAUCAAUUUAAAAAUAUACAUUGAAAUAAAGUUUUGACUGUUGAAUUUAUUAUUUCCCGAGUCUGUUUUAUAUAGUAUAAAUAUAAUUUUUAUAAAUCAUAUAAAUUUUGGUUAAUAAAUAUAUUCAUGAUAUUUUUUAUUUUAUUUUUUAAUGUUAAUUUUUUUGGGGUGAUAUUUUUAAUGUUAAUUUUUAUACAUUAUAUUUAAAGAAUAGUUUGGGUUGGGGGGAUAUGGUUGGGUUUCAUUUAAUAUGUUUGAUGAAGGCAUUUAAGGUCUCUCGGUUAGCUCUCAACCAACUUUACCGCUCUGUCAUUUUUCCAAUAAAUGAAUCACGUGCACACUGCCUAUUUCAUUUAAAUAAGAUUUUAUUACCAAAACAUUAAUGUUAUUUUUUUUAAAAAUCUUAUAAAUUGUUAAUUUUUACUAGAGAAAUUAUUUUAUGUAAUUUUCUCAUCAUAUUAUUCAUGAUUUUUUUAAUUAUUUAAUUAUAUUUUAGUAAAAAAAAUUUAUGUUAUUAACACAUAAUUUUGAUAAUUUUUUUUUAUCUUGAACCAUGAAUUUUAAAUCUCAAAUUCUAAAUCUUAAAUCUUGAACUCUAAACUUUGAAUCCCAGGUUAUUUGAAAUUCAAAGUUCGGGAUUCGAAUCUAUGGUUCAAAAUUCAGGAUUAAGGUUCAAAAUUUUGGAUUCUGAAUAAAAAAAAUUAUUAUCACGUAUUAUAUUUAGUGUAAAUAUUAUUAUCAUUAAAAUUUUAAUUAAUAUUAACAAUUUGUAGUCCAAUUCUCGUCUCAAAAUUUUAAAAAUAGAACUUAAUCAAACUUUAAAACCAAGUUUUAUUCAUUUACAUAAAACUUGAACUUUAAAUUUAAAGUAUUUAGUUGCACAUGUAUGCUUAAGUUGAACUACUAACAUUUAUUUCCAUGAACUCAUAAACAGCUAUUGUCGGGGCUCCAAUCGGAGUUCCAACUCAAAGCACUGAAGGAUCUAUGUCACCAGCAUCCGAGCCAACAGGUUCCGUAGCAUACGGACCGUCUCCAUCCGCCAUGGCACCAACACCGGACUGCAUGACAAACUUGUUUAACUUGUCGGAUUGUUUGCCGUACGUGACGGCCGGAAGCAACCAAACGAAGCCGGACAAACCUUGUUGCCCGGAGUUGGCCGGGCUCGUGGAAAGCAGCCCUCAGUGUUUAUGUUUAUUGUUUGAUAAGAACGCGACCUCGAGUUAUGGGGUCGACAUUGACAUGGAUAGAGCUCUUAAGCUACCUAAUGUUUGCCAUGUUAAAACCCCCCCCGUUAGUCUCUGCUCCAGUAAGUAUAUUACUUUCUUUUAAGAAUUUAAUUACGUCUUAAAAGUAUCGAUAAAAUAUCAAUCGAGACAUUUAUUUAACUUAAUCAUUAUCUCCAACAUUAAAUGUAAGUUAAAUAUAUUGAAAAUACGUAAUCACAAAAUUGAUUUUUUAUCUGGAAUUGAAUUCCUACAGCUAUCUAUGGUGCCGCUCCAGUUGGGGUUCCAACUUCAGGCACUGAAGUAUCUUUAUCACCAGGUACUUCGUUUUCUUUCUUUUAAUUCUAACAUACUUUACAAAUAUUAUUGUUUAAAUAAUCUUAUUAUCAACUAUUUUAGUGCGUAUUUCAAAAAAAAAGUUAUACUUUUUCGUUGAAAGAUGGUAAAUCUUGAAUUUCUACCGAAAGUUGGUGUGUAUAUAUAUGGAGUAUAAUUAGAUAUUGGCCAAAAAAAAAAAACCCUCCAUAAUUUGGUUUAUGAAUUUUUUUUAAUUCCAUUAAAACAAUUAUCAUGGAUAAAUUUUCCAUUGGGUCACUCAACUUUUAAGGCAUUUUCCUUGUAAUUUGGUCAUCCAACUUUUAGGUCAUUUUCAUUUUAAUCACUCAAUUGUUAAAUCUCUAACUGCGGUAUUGUAGAUGCCAUAUCAUGUUAGCAUAUUCAUUUUGGUCAUCAAAAAAUAUCUUUUUGAAGUAUUGAUUAGGGUAAAAAAAACUCAAAUUUAAAGUGAAUAUGUGAUAGACAUUAAAAUAAUACACAAAAAUUAUCAAAAAAAAUCUUUUUAAGUAUUGAUUAGGGUAAAUAAAAAUAUUUGCAAUUAAUUAAAUUAAUUAAUUUUAUCUUCUAUUCCAAACAAAAUUCAUAUUUUUUUUUAUCAUUUCUUUACUCAAACAAAGAGCAAGCAAUUAAUUUAAUUAAUUGCAAGUAUCUUUUUUCUCUUUACCUUUAGCAUAGCAUGGGAGACUUGAGAUUAUAUAAAAAUAUAUAUAUAUAAGUUUUAUAGACAAAGUUAUUUGAGUUGAUUUUGUUAAACAUAAAAUAAAAUUUUAAAAAUUUAACAUGAGAUUAAAUUAAUUAAUUUUAAUGUUAUAGUAACAAAUUAGUUAACAUGUUAUAGUACCAAAAUAAAAGUGCAAACAUGAUGUGACGUGUAUAAUUAAAUACCGUUAGAGAUUUAACACUUGAAUGACUAAAAUGAAAAUAUCCUAAAAGUGAAGUGACUAAUUUGAAAAGAUUUCAUACCCAAAAUGAAAGUACCAUAAAAGUUGAGUAAAUAACUGUGGUUUACCCUCUAUAUAUAAUAUUGAGAGUUUGUAGAAUUUUUAGACUCUACAAUUUAGAAAAUGGCAUCUUUACCAUGUAGUGAAAAAAAAUAUUAAAUGAGACGUGGCUGUAUUUGAACCCAGAGUUAAAAAUUUCUAGUAGUAAUUAAUCGAAUAUUAACCCCAACUAUAGGCAGGGGUGAAUUUAAAGGAGGCAGGAAACUUACUUGAACAUUUAAAAAUGAAUAAUUAUCUGUUUAGUUCACUUUAAAAUAAUAAAAUUAUAAAUUAAUAUAUGAUAAAACAUUUUACCUCUCAAAAUAAAAUAAAAAAUCUUAUAAAUGAUAAAAAUAUAAAUUAUUAAAUGAUGAAAUAACAUUUUUAUCUCUCAAAAAAUUAAUAAUAAAAUUUCCAUUCCUAAAAGAAUUUCUAAAUUCACCCUUUGGGUUUAAUUAUUUAAAAUUUUAUUUAUAUUCCUUUUUGUCGAGGUUGACAAUUUGAAUAUUCAUCAUUCAUGUGAUAUUUACAUAUUUUAUUAUAUUUUAAAAUUUUUAUAGUUAUAUAAACUUGAUACAUGAAUAAUUGGUAUUUUUACUAAGAAUUUCCCCCCAUCGUGAAGGAUUAGCUCCAAGCCCUUCAAAUGGAAACAGCAGUGGUGCUUCAAACAUGGCAAUAUUUGGUCUAGCUUCCUUCAUUGCCUUGCCAAUUUCCUUUCUUCCCAUGCUUUUUGGGAUUUAAAGCUCUUAUUUUCCCAUUAUUAAAAC